rnacentral:lncRNA from 1 species
CCCGGGUGGAGGCGCCCGGACUGGGGCGGCCGCGGGACGGCCGCGCUCGGGCGUCUGAGCCGGAGGGACCCGGGCGGGACGCACGUGCGCGCCGAGCUCCGCUCGCGGGUUGCGGCGGGGGAGAAGCCGCUGUCCAGCCCGGAGGUUGACGGUGCCGUGCAUCCCCGCGGACGCCUGGGUGCGCGCCGGGCGCUGCGGUGUGAGCGUAGGCUGGCGGGAACGGAUCCGGAGAUCCUUGGGGUCUCCACAGACUUUGGAGGGUAGAAAAUUAUGGUCUGAGGAGGAGCACAGAACCGGGAAGGCUGUCAUCAAAAGUUGUAGCACUUUCUCCACCAGAAGCUGCACCCCAAGUCAGGCGGGCGCCAUCAUGCCUCAGCAGCUCCUGAUCACCGUGUCCCCUGAGGUGAAGUUGAAGCAACCCAGGAAGACCAAGAAGGGGGCAUCCCUGUGGGACAAUGUGACGAAAACGUUUGAAGGAGGAGGUAAAAAGAUGAGUGAUUACCUCUCCUUGUUGGUGCUGGUGUUUGGUCAGUGUCUCAGCUGUAGCCCAGCCUGGCCUGUGACGUGCUGUGUAGCAGAGGCUGGUCUAACUCUUUAUCCUCCUGCUUCCACCUCCCGAGUGCAGGGAUUGGAGGUGUGUGCCACCAUGCCUGGCGAGUAAUUGAUCUUGAAUGCUUAUUAUUAAUUGCUGAGGGAGACACAUAGAGAUAAAAAUAGCAG